rnacentral:lncRNA from 1 species
CUCAGAUUUUGUAAGGAUCCCUCAGGGUCUGUCUGGAUCUAUGAGGAUCCCUCAGGCUCUCCUAGGUUCUGUGGGAUCCCUCAGGGUCUCUCAGGUUCUGUGUGGAUGCCUCAGGUUCUGUCAGCUUCCCUCAGGUUUGGUAACGAUACCUCAGAAUCCAUCAGCUUCCCUCAGGAUCUGUAAAGAUCCCUCCGAUUGUGUCAUCUCUCUCAGGUUCCGUCAGCUUCCUUCAGGUUUGGUCAAGAUCCCUCAGAUUCCAUCAGCUUCCCUCAGGUUUUCAGGGUCCCUCUGAUCCCGUUCUAUUCCUCAGAUGCCAUCAGUUUCCCUCAGGUUCUGUGAGGAUCCCUCAUGUUCUCUCAGGAUCUGUGAGGGUCCCUCAGGUUCUCUCAGGUUCUUUUAGGAUCCCUCAGAUCCUUUCAGCUUCCCUCGGAUCCCAUACAUUUCCCUCAGGACUUGUAAGGAUCCCUUAGGUUCUGUUAUCAUCCCUCAGAUUCUGUGACGAUCCCUCAGGUUCUGUCAGCUUCCCUCAGAUCCUAUCAGUUUCCCUCAGGAUCUGUGAGGAUCCCUCAUGUCCUGUCACCUCUCUCAGGUUCCACGAGGAUCUCUCAGAUCCCAUUAGCUUCCCUCAGGUCCCAUCCAUUUCCCUCAGGACUGCAAGGAUCCCUUAGGUUCUGUCAUCUUCCGUCAGAUUUUGUAAGGAUCCCUCAGGUUUUGUCAGCUUCCCUCAGGUUCUGGAAUGAGUCCUCAGAUCCCGACAGCUUCCCUCAGGAUCUGUAAAUAUCCCUCAGAUUGUGUCAUCUCUCUCAGGUUCCGUGCGGAUCCCUCAGAUCUUGUCAGCUUCACUCGGAUCCCAUCCUUUCCCCUCAGGACUGCAAGGAUCCCUUAGGUUCUGUCAUCUUCCCUCAGAUUUCGUGAGGAUCUCUCAGAUUCUGUCAGGUUCUGUGAGGAUCCCUCAGGUUUUGUCAGCUUCCCUGGGUUCCGUGAGGAUCCCUCAGGUUCUCUAGGGAUCUGUGAGGAUCCUUCAGGGUCAGCCAGCUUCGCUCAGGUUCUGUCAGGAAUUCUCAGGUUCUGUAGGCUUCCUUGAGAUUCUGUGAGGAUCCCUCAGGAUUUGUUACCUUCCCUCGGGUUCCAUGAGAUCCCUCAGGUUCUCUCAGGAUCUCUGAGGAUCCCUCAGUUUCUCUCAUGAUCUGUGCGGAACCUCAGAUUCUGUCAGCUUCCUUCAGGUUUUGUCAAGAUCCCUCAAAUUUCAUCAGCUUCCCUCAGGUUUUCAGGGUCCCUCUGAUCCCGUUCUA